rnacentral:rRNA from 1 species
CAGCACCUCAAGUGGUCAGGAUGAUUAUUGGGCCUAAAGCAUCCGUAGCCUGCUUUGUUAGUUUUCGGUUAAAUCCAUAUGCUCAACGUAUGGGCUGCCGGGAAUACUGCAAAGCUAGGGAGUGGGAGAGGUAGACGGUACUCGGUAGGAAGGGGUAAAAUCCUUUGAUCUAUUGAUGACCACCUGUGGCGAAGGCGGUCUACCAGAACACGUCCGACGGUGAGGGAUGAAAGCUGGGGGAGCAAACCGGAUUAGAGACCCGCGUAGUCC